GGGGUUGGAGCUCAGUGGUAGAGUGCUUGUUUCACAUUCAUGAGGCCCUAAGUUUGAUCCUCAGCACCACA
rnacentral:tRNA from 1 species